rnacentral:lncRNA from 1 species
CUGUGAUGGAGUGGCCCUCACGUGGCCAAAGGUGGCUGUGUUGGGAGCAGCCUGGAAGAUGGAGGAGGGUUGGGAGAGAUGCAACCUCACAUGCCUAGAAACAUUGGCACAGCCUCUUGCAGGGAAGAAAGCAUAUAUCUCCAUCCUCCCAAGGCCAGUCUUCACAACUGAAGUAUUCAGGCCUACAGGUAUGGUCACCUGGAUCACUGUCCUUGUGAUUACAGGAGUGUUCUGGAUGGAAAACCUAGUUUCCGUGCAUUUGGCUUUGUGCCCAGAAGUUAACCAUUUCAUCAAAAUCUCUGAAGUCAAGACAAAUUGCAGAACUCUGAAACAAGAUGAACUGGAAACUCAUGAGACUAUGUAUGCUUCCCUUCAGUUUCAAGCCAGCAAGAAAGAACAAAAAGAUUCCACUGUGAGCAUUAUACCAU